GACAGAGGGGGCAAGCGUUGCUCGGAAUUACUGGGCGUAAAGGGCGCGUAGGCGGGAUGGCAAGUCGGUCGUGAAAUCCCUCGGCUCAACUGAGGAUCGUCGAUCGAUACUGCCGUUCUUGAGGAUUGCAGAGGAGACUGGAAUUCCCGGUGUAGCGGUGAAAUGUGUAGAGAUCGGGAGGAACACCGGUGGCGAAGGCGGCUCACUGGAUCUUUUCUGACGCUGAGGCACGAAAGCUAGGGUAGCGAACGGG
rnacentral:rRNA from 1 species